UACGUAGGGCGCAAGCGUUGUCCGGAAUUAUUGGGCGUAAAGAGCUCGUAGGCGGCCUGUUGCGUCCGCUGUGAAAUCCCGGGGCUCAACCCCGGGCGUGCAGUGGAUACGGGCUGGCUGGAGGCAGGCAGGGGAGAACGGAAUUCCUGGUGUAGCGGUGAAAUGCGCAGAUAUCAGGAGGAACACCGGUGGCGAAGGCGGGUCUCUGGGCCGUGAACUGACGCUGAGGUGCGAAAGCGUGGGGAGCAAACAGGAUUAGA
rnacentral:rRNA from 1 species